CUCCCAUAUUCCCAAAUUUCCCACCUUCCCAAAUCCCAUAUUCCAAAUUUCCCACCUUCCCAAGCUCCCACAUUCCCAAUUUUCCCACAUUCCCAGGUUCCCACCUUUCCAGGCUCCCCCCUCCCCUCCCAGGCCCAGCCUAGGAUCAUCUCCAUCCCUCUGGAAAGGCUCCAUGGAUGCAGGAUCCAUGGCUGACAGAGUUUUUGGCUGUGAGGCUGCGUCCAGGGAGGGGGAAUUGCCAGGGCAGAUCCUCCUUUUCCAGCUCCUGACUCUGCUCUUGUGUCCUGGCAGGGCCAGCCUGGACUCCCAGGGCCACCAGGGCUCCCUGUGAGUAUCUGCUGCUCCCAGGGGUGGGGUGGGGACCUCCAAGUCCUCCCUGCCCCAUCCUUGGGGCAGGAAUUCUGAUGGAUUUGGGGAAUUUAAACCAAUUGAAGCUUGCUUUUUGUUGCAGGGUCCUUCACUGCCAGGACCCCCCGUAAGUGCCACGCUGGGGCUGGGAUGGGUGGCCUGGGGUCCUGCUUGGAAUUGUGCGGGAGGAGCUCAAACCUCAGCACCCCCAGAGGGGAGGAAUCAGGAUGGGACCUCUCUCAUUCCAUGGAUUUCUCUCCCUUCUCCCUAAGGGGCUUCCAGGCCAGGUUGGACUUCCCGGACAGAUCGGGGUGCUGGGACCCAAGGGUGAUCCCGGACCCGACGGCCCCAGAGGUCCCCCAGGCCCUCCAGGGAAACCUGGCCUCCCGGGACACCUCCAAGGCCUAGAAGGCAGCGCUGAUUUCCUGUGUCCCACCAGCUGCCCCCCAGGUCCCAAGGGCCCCCAGGGACUGCAGGGACUGAAGGUAAGGAAGUCCUGGAGCUGCUGUGGGGGGGAAAAAUGGGAAUUGUCACUUCCAGGAUGUGGUGGAGUGAAGGAUCCUUCUCUGGGAUCUCUGGAGCACCAGGACAGGGAGGCCUGGAGGAAAAGGUGCUGUGGGAAUGGUCCCUGAGGGUCCCCAGCCCCUUCCUGGGGGUGGCACCCUGUGCCAAAG
rnacentral:lncRNA from 1 species